rnacentral:rRNA from 1 species
CUAUACCCUUUGUGACAUACCUAUAACUGUUGCUUCGGCGGGUAGGGUCUCCGCGACCCUCCCGGCCUCCCGCCUCCGGGCGGGUCGGCGCCCGCCGGAGGAUAACCAAACUCUGAUUUAACGACGUUUCUUCUGAGUGGUACAAGCAAAUAAUCAAAACUUUUAACAACGGAUCUCUUGGUUCUGGCAUCGAUGAAGAACGCAGCGAAAUGCGAUAAGUAAUGUGAAUUGCAGAAUUCAGUGAAUCAUCGAAUCUUUGAACGCACAUUGCGCCCGCCAGCAUUCUGGCGGGCAUGCCUGUUCGAGCGUCAUUUCAACCCUCAAGCUCUGCUUGGUGUUGGGGCCCUACAGCUGAUGUAGGCCCUCAAAGGUAGUGGCGGACCCUCCCGGAGCCUCCUUUGCGUAGUAACUUUACGUCUCGCACUGGGAUCCGGAGGGACUCUUGCCGUAAAACCCCCCAAUUUUCCAAAGGUUGACCUCGGAUCAGGUAGGAAUACCCGCUGAACUUAAGCAUAUCAAUA